AAUUCAAUUAUCAUUCCAUCAACAUUUAACAUAAUCCUCCUAGAAUAAUUUUUGGGUUCACCCCUAGGGUUGUAUUUUAAUCAUGAAAAUCCAAAUUCUGACAACAACGAGCUAAUCGAAAUCAAGGAGCUGUUGGGAAUCAAAAAGCUGCAUUAUAUCACAUUAGAUGGCUGAGUUCCUGACAUGGAUGUGUGAGCUGACAUGGCACAGAUGUAGCGCUUGAUGUGACGUGCCAAGUAGCCUUGCUGACUUGGCGUGGUCAUCAAAGACGAAGGUCGGUUGAGAAGAUAUGGUGAAUAUCCUUCCGAUCACAUAUGGAAAGGGAUAAGCUUGAAGAUCAAGGGAGAUCCUAGAGAUUAUGGUCCUGGAGAUUAGUAUAAGUAUUCUAGAGGUCGGCCAUAAACCGAUUGAGCACUCUAGAAUAUUGUCAUACGAUUGUAAACUUCCAAACCUAGCAAAGAGAUUAGAAGGCUUCCGGAAGCUGAUUGACUUUUCUUUCAACAAAAAUCAAGUCUUUCUCUAGCAAAUUCAUAUCCAGCCUAACUUUGUUUUCACUAGAGAUAUCUGAAAACCUUCUUUCUUGUACUGCAUAGGAGGGAUUAUACAUGAAGCCUUGGGUGAAAACUCAAUUUUUUGCCCAACGUGUAGUUUAUCAGAAAGUCGAUGAUUCCUAUAACAAGCACUUUGUGUUCCUCGUCCACUCCGACUAAAAGCGAAUAAUCCAUAACAUCAACAGUACUGUAUAAAGAGAUAGUAGAUGCUGAAGAUAACUUGGGAAUAGAUAAGAGAAAAUGGAUAGAAAGUAUAUCAAUAAGACUAUUCAUGAAAACCACAACCAUGCUCCCAAGCAUGCAAAACAUUCACUACAAAAAGUGUGCAUUAAUAGCACAUUAUGAUAGUAUAGAUUUUGCAAAUGCUAUUAAAGAUGAUAUUGAGAGAUUUAUAACUAUAUCAUAACCAUUUUUAAAUGCUAACCAUAUAAUAGCAAAGUGGAAAUGUAGAAUCACUUAUACCACCAAAACUUCACAAAUAUUUCACAAAAACUGCUCAAAUACUUGAGCAAAAUUUCUUUUAAAAAGAAGCAUUUAUUAACAUAUAAUCCUAAUUUCUAUCUUCCUCUCCUUCAUGGUUCCUAUACCUCUCUAUUCCUCCUCUUCACUCGAACUCUCUUCCUAUGAUGAUCUCAAUAUUUAAGAUAUAAAAUUUAUGCUGUCACAUAUACACACAAAAAAAAAAUAAAAAAAAGUGCAAAACCAUUUGUUGUGGAUAAAUAUGCUUGGCUAG
rnacentral:sRNA from 1 species